AUUCCUUGCCACAAAACCAUAUUUAUUAGCAAACCAGGCAUUCUUGACACGGUCAACAAAGCCAUACCUGCUUGCAGGCUUCCCAUAGGCAUCUGGUUGGCCACUGUGAGAGCUGGAUACUGGACUAGAUGGGCCACUGGCCUGACCCAACAGGGCUUUUCUUAUGCUUUGUUUUUUGCACUUCAUGAUGUAACCUCACCAGCUUGAACCACAGACUCAGGAACUGUGAUCUGGAAAAUUCACCAUCCCAAGUUCAGAAUUGAAUAGAGUGGCACAUUACCAUGAUCAGGCGUCAAUGACAUCUACUCCCAGACAUGGCAGAAGUCUAGGAAUGCAGUGAAGUUCACCACAACCACCACCUACAGCAACUGUGCUAGCCGAUGUACCUCAUGCACCACCUGCCAACACAAUAUUUGCAGUGAUGUUCCUCAUCUGUACCUGCUGAUGAACAUAAAGAAUCUACUGCUGCAACAUCUACUGCUGCACCAUUGACACUCAAAUAUGCACCUGUCCCCUUCGGCAAUCAAGAGGAAGUCAGGGAAACUCACACUGCCGGAAAUACUGAAAGCACUAUGUCUAAGUCAACCACUUUUGGUAGGACAUAAGAGCAUUAUGAAAUCAUCUUUCAAGUUCAUCAAGCAUGGUCCAAAAGACAAGAACUUUGAACAUUUUCAUCAAAAUGACCAACACUAUGUUAGGAAUUCAGCUGAUGAGAAAGUGCACAAACCAAUGUAAGGAACACUACCAAUAUGUAUCUGACAGUAAUGAUGUUGGUGCUGUUUGUACUGAAGUGGUUGACUCUCUUGUUGACAAUCUGACCAUCUUGAAGCAUAAGAAAUUUUAACAUGCUCAGCAUAAUGUGAAAGAAGCCACCAUGGCGCACCUGUGUAAUCUUCUGUUCUGUGCUUAUUUUGUACUGGUAUGUAAUGACUGUAUACCUACAUACUGUUUAAAAGAGUUCAAUAUGAAUCAAUAAAUGCUUUUGACUAGUCA